AAGGCUCUGUAGCUCCCGAACGCCCAAGUACCACUUGGGACAUUCAUGUAGGGAGAACGGAGCCUU
rnacentral:sRNA from 1 species